CCGAGCUGCCCUAGCCCGGGAGGGCGCCGCUGCUCUGCGAACUCGGGCGCGCGCGUAGGUGGCCCGCCCUCCGCCGUGCGUGACUUUCCUCGUCGCGUCCAGCUCCCCUUUUCUUUGACCUUACGUGACCUUGGGAAAAACCUCCAGGCUGCUACCCCAUCUGCACAUGGGAGGGCCGGGGGUAGGAGCCGCGACCCCUAAGGGCUCCACCGCCUUCUGCCCGGCCAGGGUCGUGCCUGGCGCGCCCCCGCUCCAGCUGACCCGCGCAAGGGAGGGAGGGGCGGACGGAUGGGGACAGCUGUUUAGGAGCGCGCACUGCGCCCAUCUCGGCCUCAACACUCAUGUUUCCACUUCGUUUCACGACCACCAGCCACAGUGGACACGAUGAUCCCCAGUUCACCCGCCAGCAAAUCAGGGCUCAGAGAGGUGGCCUCAAAGAGAGGAGCGGCCAGGAGGGAAGCCGGGGGUUUGCCCUGCGGUUCUUCCCACAUCUGGGCGGGAUAGAUUCGAUUGGGCCUCGGCCACCCCCACCGUCUCCGUCGGGGGUUCCAAGGUUUGGGGUCAUGACCUAGGGGGCUUAGGAGCCUGGGUCCAUCUCAACUAAUUUAUGGCCUCACUCGCCCCCAGCGGCUGGGAAUUCUAGGCCCAUUUUACAGAUGUGGACGCAGAUCUGGAGAGGGGCAAUGACUGCUCAACCCCCCACCCAUCCUCCCAGACACGACCUUCCACCUGGAAUCCCCCCACACACGUUCUCAGAGGCCAGGCAGCCGGGGUCUCAUGGUGAAAUCCCCACAUUCCAUGCAGGGGCUCUUUCUGGUUCCUUCCCUAGAAUGCUGUCCCUGCCCUUCCAGUACUAUCUCACCAGGGAGACCCUCCCACUCCCCCACUCCGCUCCAACCAAGCAAGGCCUCUGCCUCGCCCCGGUGGGAGGGGCCUCGUCCAGAGGGCACGCCCCUGCACACACAAUCAGCCCUGUCCUGGCUUCUCUGUGUGCCCCAGCCAGUCAGUCUGGGUGGAAGUCUUACCUGGGCCCUCUCAACAGACCUAGGCAGGCCUCUGUCCCCAGCCCAACGAGCUCAAUCCCUUAAGCACACACGCCACAGAGCAGUCCUGAGAGGCCAGGUGGACAGUACCAUGAGGCAGACAAAGCUGUGAGGCCCAGAGAGGGUCAGGCCACCCCAGCCCAGGCCUAUCUCCCUAGGGCUUCUCCCAUCUGCCGGUUCUGGAUGCCUCUGAGUACGAUGGUGGGGAGAGCAAAACACACAUACAAAGAGCAUCAUGAUGCCUGGGAGCCCGGGACCCAGUUGAAGGAGCAACACACGGCAGAUCGGAAGCCCUGCGUGCCUGUCCCCUCCCUCCCCAGCCAGCCUCAGUGUGAGUCCGCGUGCGUCUUUCCCACUGUAAGUGCAAGUGGCAGCAGACAUAGUAACACUCCCUGCCAUGGGGCUCCACAGCACUGCCUCACCUCAGCCUCUUGCCUUUUUCUCCUGAGGUCACUUUUAGAUCCAGCCCCAGGGGAACCCCCUGCUUUGGGUUGCAGCCGCCAUCUCUGCUGCAGUGUCUUCUGAUGAAAGCUGUCCCCUGUGGGCAUGAGUGUGGACAUGCUGCACCUCCUAAGGCAGCAGUGCCAAGGCUGAUGGUGCCCUCCACGGUGGUUUCAUGGCAUCGCUGCUGCACUAGAGGCUGCCCAGGGACGUGUGAACAGCUGUGAAGGGGCAGGUUCCUCAGGGAGGGAGGAUGGGCUGCGGGGAGGGUGGCUGGGGCAGGGGAAUGGGCAGAGCAUGACUUCCAAACACCUAGGAAGCCCCAGGUGGAGGGCGGAGGGGGGUCUUGCCAUCUUGGGAUAGGAGUUGACCUUUGACCCCAUCAUGCUCCUGCUGGGACCUGACCCAGGCACACUCCUCUUCCUCUGGGAGGGCUUGUCCCACCAGGGCAGGGGUCUGUGUGUGCCCAGGCAGGGAGCCACAGGCAGUAGGGGGAGGCUGGGGCUGCAAGCACAGAGGCCCCGGAAAGUGUGUGAGGACGCUGGGGAGUGGGAAGGGCCCUCGGAGGGGUGGUAUGGCCGGCUUAGGUUUUCUCGACAACUCUAGUUGAGUAUGCACUGCAGGGAGACGGAGAGGCCGCAGCCACUGAAGCCAACUGUGCUGGAGCAGGCGGAGGGCACCAGGGGUCCCUGGAGAGAAGUGCCGCCUCCUGCCAGGCCCCUGACCUAUAGGUGAGGGUGUGAGCAGAAGAGGAGAAUCUAGGAGGCCUCCCGGGUAUUAGGGGAAAGCUGAGCACCUGGAAGAUGGCAGAGCCAAGAGGUGUCCAUGGCCCUGGAGAUGGGGUCAUGAGUAUAAAGAGGGCGCUUGGAGUGUGAGGCACCAGGGAUGGGAGGUGAGAGGCCCGAGGCCCCAGCCGGGGCUUCCAGGAAAGGAGGUGGGAGAGGGUCUUGGGGCCAAGAAGGCACAGGGCUUCCCGAAGCCAAGGUGUCCCAAAAAUAAGGGAGCGGUCGGCUGGGACAGAUUCAGAUGUGGUGGCUCACACCUGUAAUCCCAGAACUUUGGGAGUCCGAGGCGGACA
rnacentral:lncRNA from 1 species